rnacentral:rRNA from 1 species
AUUGAACGCUGGCGGCAGGCCUAACACAUGCAAGUCGAGCGGAUGAAGGGAGCUUGCUCCUGGAUUCAGCGGCGGACGGGUGAGUAAUGCCUAGGAAUCUGCCUGGUAGUGGGGGAUAACGUCCGGAAACGGGCGCUAAUACCGCAUACGUCCUGAGGGAGAAAGUGGGGGAUCUUCGGACCUCACGCUAUCAGAUGAGCCUAGGUCGGGUUAGCUAGUUGGUGGGGUAAAGGCCUACCAAGGCGACGAUCCGUAACAGGUCUGAGAGGAUGAUCAGUCACACUGGAACUGAGACACGGUCCAGACUCCUACGGGAGGCAGCAGUGGGGAAUAUUGGACAAUGGGCGAAAGCCUGAUCCAGCCAGGCCGCGUGUGUGAAGAAGGUCUUCGGAUUGUAAAGCACUUUAAGUUGGGAGGAAGGGCAGUAAGUUAAUACCUUGCUGUUUUGACGUUACCAACAGAAUAAGCACCGGCUAACUUCGU